UGCAGUCGAGCGGAUGAGAGGAGCUUGCUCCUUGAUUUAGCGGCGGACGGGUGAGUAAUGCCUAGGAAUCUGCCCGGUAGUGGGGGAUAACGUUCCGAAAGGAACGCUAAUACCGCAUACGUCCUACGGGAGAAAGCAGGGGACCUUCGGGCCUUGCGCUAUCGGAUGAGCCUAGGUCGGAUUAGCUAGUUGGUGAGGUAAAGGCUCACCAAGGCGACGAUCCGUAACUGGUCUGAGAGGAUGAUCAGUCACACUGGAACUGAGACACGGUCCAGACUCCUACGGGAGGCAGCAGUGGGGAAUAUUGGACAAUGGGCGAAAGCCUGAUCCAGCCAUGCCGCGUGUGUGAAGAAGGUCUUCGGAUUGUAAAGCACUUUAAGUUGGGAGGAAGGGCAGUAAGUUAAUACCUUGCUGUUUUGACGUUACCGACAGAAUAAGCACCGGCUAACUUCGUGCCAGCAGCCGCGGUAAUACGAAGGGUGCAAGCGUUAAUCGGAAUUACUGGGCGUAAAGCGCGCGUAGGUGGUUCGUUAAGUUGGAUGUGAAAGCCCCGGGCUCAACCUGGGAACUGCAUCCAAAACUGGCGAGCUAGAGUACGGUAGAGGGUGGUGGAAUUUCCUGUGUAGCGGUGAAAUGCGUAGAUAUAGGAAGGAACACCAGUGGCGAAGGCGACCACCUGGACUGAUACUGACACUGAGGUGCGAAAGCGUGGGGAGCAAACAGGAUUAGAUACCCUGGUAGUCCACGCCGUAAACGAUGUCAACUAGCCGUUGGAAUCCUUGAGAUUUUAGUGGCGCAGCUAACGCAUUAAGUUGACCGCCUGGGGAGUACGGCCGCAAGGUUAAAACUCAAAUGAAUUGACGGGGGCCCGCACAAGCGGUGGAGCAUGUG
rnacentral:rRNA from 1 species